rnacentral:rRNA from 1 species
AUGUUCUGGGCCCCGCCCCCUCCCUCAGACGGGCCCGAGUACAUCAUCUCGGUGGGGUGAGGUCCGGGUCUCUUGUUCACCCGUGUCGGGCUGGGGAUAGAGCAUCGCAAUUAUUGCUCUUCACCGAGGAAUGCCUAGUAGGCACGAGUCAUCAGCUCGUGCCGAUUACGUCCCUGCCCUUUGUACACACCGCCCGUCGCUACUUCCCAUUCAUGACUCGGUGAGGCCUUCGGACUGCCCCAGUCAGUUUACUCAGACCCCC